AGUUUGAUCCUGGCUCAGAAUCAACGCUGGCGGCGUGCCUCAGACAUGCAAGUCGUACGAUUAAAGCUCUCUUCGGAGAGUGUAUAAAGUGGCGCACGGGUGAGUAACACGUAAGUAAUCUACCUUUGGGUGGGGAAUAACAGUCGGAAACGACUGCUAAUACCGCAUAAUGCAGCGGCUCGACAUCGAGACAGUUGUUAAAGAAUUUAUUCGCCUAAAGAGGAGCUUGCGGUAGAUUAGCUAGUUGGUAAGGUAAUGGCUUACCAAGGCAACGAUCUAUAGCCGACCUGAGAGGGUGGUCGGUCACACUGACACUGAAUAACGGGUCAGACUCCUACGGGAGGCAGCAGUCGGGAAUUUUGGGCAAUGGGCGAAAGCCUGACCCAGCAACGCCGCGUGAAGGAUGAAGUAUUUCGGUAUGUAAACUUCGUAAGAAUGGGAAGAAUCAAUGACGGUACCAUUUGUAAGGUCCGGCUAACUACGUGCCAGCAGCCGCGGUAAUACGUAGGGACCAAGCGUUGUUCGGAUUUACUGGGCGUAAAGGGAGCGUA
rnacentral:rRNA from 1 species